UCCUCAUCACGAACACAUCUCACCAGAAAAGUCCAUCCACCGUCCGACUUCAGCUGUCGUGCUCUAGUUCCAUACUAGGCGUCCACGAGCUGGUUUUUGAGGGGGCUGGGUAGAGUUGCGAGAGUGGGAGGUGGAGGGGAGCUGGCCUACACCAAGAUAGUGAGAGGCGGAGGGGUGGCACAGCAGGCCACAAGCUGCGAUGGUGCCAGUACGUGAUGCAGCCGGCGAGAUGGGGAGCUGCAACCCCUGGCUAGCGGAGCUACAAUCAAGGCAUGGUCGAGCUGCAUCCAGUGACGGCCGCCAGAUAACUAGCUACAAAGGGCGGUUCCAGGAGCUGCAAUCGCCCGUUGGUCGAGCUGCAUACCGCGACGCACCCGACGACGAGCUGCAACCGUGUAGUACAAGCUAAUGGAGGGGGCGGCGAUGACGAGGUGCAACAGAUCUUUUUUGCGGUGGCGACGGUAUUGUGAAUUUGCUGCAACCGACAGCAGGAAAGCUUCUGAUGGCGCUGGGAUAUUUUGUUGCAACCAUGGGGGUGCCCUGGAACUGCGGCUGUUCGGGAUCGAUAAUGGCGAGCAGCGGCAAGCUGGCAAGGUCAUCAGCAUUGGGUGAUGUCGGGGGGCGGGGCGGGAAGGGGAUUCACGAUGUUGGUGUGGCCCUGGUGCGCCGGCGCUUGGGGGAAGAAAGAAAUAAUUAAAGGGGGAAGGAACAAGACGACACAAGUGACAGAUCGAAUGGCUGCCUACAGCUAUAUCGUAUGGUUGUGGUGUGACCGGCUCAAAUUUGGGCCGGCGCGCCGGCGCCUAUCAGUUUACAGGAUUUUUCAGAUGACAAACAUGGAUAAAAGCCGCAUAAAUACAUGUAUUUUCUAGA